rnacentral:lncRNA from 1 species
AUUUUAUUUUUUAUUUUUUUCACCUUUCCAGUCUGGUUUUGAAGGUUGUAGAUGCAUGAAAGAAGGUAGAGGAAGAAGGUUGCUGAUUACCGGUUUUCUUCUGUCAACAGGCCUUUCAUGUUACACCCCACACACUGCAGAGCUGCUGGAAGGGCCCAGAACAGAACCUGCGCGAGCAGCUGAAGGCCAUGAGAGCCCUCCCAGGCUCUGUCUCCCAGUUUAUGGUCAUCUGAAAUCUGGUUUGCGUUCCCUGAGACUGCUCCUCAGUGUGAACCGUGGUGCAGAAAGGAGGACAACAGUCUUCCCUCUGUACUUCAAAGAUUUGUCCCCUCUUCAAGCUGUAGCAUAAGCAUCCAGACCAUGCAACCUCAGCAGAGGUGUGCGCACCCACCAGGGUUAGGAGAUGGCAGGUGCCUACCUGGCUCCCCAGCCAGCUGACAGGAGGACCACAACCUCCGGAUGGCCUCUGGGAACUUCCACUGGGAACAGGCACAGGGGCCACCACCACCAAUUCUCGCCAGGGAGGAACACCACUGCUCUGCAGUGCUAACACGGGGCCACGCACAGUUGCUCUCCUGGUCCUCCCCGGUCCUCCUCUGCAGCUCUUGUGUCACCGUGGCGCUUGUCAAGAGAAGUUGCAUCCUACCUUCCUCUUGUCCCACUGAGUUUCACCAACUUUUGGGUCAAUGGAUUGUGAUGAAUAUUGUUAUUAUCCCGAGUCACUUUAUGGACCUGACUCUUCUGAGUUUUCUCAGAGCACAACACUACAUAUCAGCCCUGGUUACAAGGUGUACCCAGCAGGGAUAUCUGAUGCAGUUGCAUUCCCUGAACUACUGGGUGCUCCAGGAGCAGGUAAGAAACACAACAGUGCUCAGUAAAACAUUUAAAGAGGCUGAAAUUCAAUUCCAUCCUAUCCAAGAAAAUACGUGAGCUCCUGCUGUCACUGGAAAGGCACAUCGGUAUGGAGAGCAGGUUUUUGCAUUGCACGCUCAGGAGCAAUUGCCCGAAGUCCACCUGAAGAGAAAUGUGGGUGCUGCACAUUGCUUGAGCCUGCCUCAUAGUGACAGUGUGUCUUAUUUUUCCCCAGGAGCUGGCUGGGAUGCAUCUACUUUGUUGUCAUCAGCCAUCCAAAUACCAUCAAAAAUCAGUCUUCUGGUGGACUCUGCCUUGCUUUACCAUGCCAAUAAAGACAUAGAUGGACCCA